UCAUAAAUUUAGCAUAGCCCGACAUUUGCUCGAGGGCUUCUACCAAUGGAAUGUUGAUUGAGAGUUGUUUUAACUUUUCGAUGAACUUGAUGAAUUUUCCAUCAUCCGCUUUCUUUGCUAACCUUUGAGGAAACUACUAUAAAAAAGAUCUUUAGCGACUAUUAUUUAAUGGCAAUAAGCUAAUUGCCGUUAAUCUGUUUUAAAAAUUAAAGUAGUACCGACAAAUAUACAUUAGCCAAGAAAAAUAAAAACGUCUUUACCGACAACUUAAAAAAUAUACACCAAAAGAGUCCACUUUUAAUUUUAUAUCUUCCCUCCAAAAGCAAACCCUAUAUGUUUUCAUUUCCCUCUCUUUUCUAAUUACACUGGCCCCAAUAAAAAACAAUCCUCCCUCAAACUCUGAGUCUCAUUCUAUCAGACAAAUCUUUCCAUUCGAACACCCAUCAAUUAGAGAAAGCAAACAGAGUUUGGUCAUGAGAUUUUAAUCUCUCCCAUACCCUUCCAACGAUUUGUUUUCAAUAUUUUUUAUUGCUUCAUAAGUAUUAACUGGAAGAUUUCGUCCUUUCCUGAGAAUGUUUUGUCUUGUAGAUUAUAUUUAUCUCAUUAUCUGUUUACUGAAUGUCGAAAAUUCUUCCUACAAGUGAUUGGACUGAGACGGAGGAUGCAUGUUUACUAAGUGAUGAACUAAACAUUUGUUUUUCAUUUCUAUAUUUUGUUCCUUUCUUGGAUCAUGUUCGUCUACACAUUUGACAUAGAGGUGAAUAUAGUGAAAAGAGUUAGUAAUGCCAUAUAUGUACCUUAAGAAAUAAAAGGCUAUGUAUGCCAUAUAUAUACUUUGCUUUCUUGAUGAGAAAUAAAAUAUAUAUCGGGCCUUUUCUAA